rnacentral:rRNA from 1 species
UGGGGAAUAUUGGACAAUGGGGGGAACCCUGAUCCAGCCAUGCCGCGUGUGUGAAGAAGGCCUUAUGGUUGUAAAGCACUUUAAGCGAGGAGGAGGGUACUGGUAUUAAUACUACCAGCUACUGGACGUUACUCGCAGAAUAAGCACCGGCUAACUCUGUGCUAGCAGCCGCGGUAAUACAGAGGGUGCGAGCGUUAAUCGGAUUUACUGGGCGUAAAGCGUGCGUAGGCGGCUAAUUGAGUCGGAUGUGAAAUCCCCGAGCUUAACUUGGGAAUUGCAUUCGAUACUGGUUAGCUAGAGUGUGGGAGAGGAUGGUAGAAUUCCAGGUGUAGCGGUGAAAUGCGUAGAGAUCUGGAGGAAUACCGAUGGCGAAGGCAGCCAUCUGGCCUAACACUGACGCUGAGGUACGAAAGCAUGGGGAGCAAACAGG